UACGGAGGGUGCAAGCGUUACUCGGAAUCACUGGGCGUAAAGGGCGCGUAGGCGGCCUAGCAAGUCUGGUGUGAAAGCCCAGGGCUCAACCCUGGAAGGGCACUGGAAACUGUUAGGCUUGAGUUCCGGAGAGGAGGGGGGAAUUCCCGGUGUAGCGGUGAAAUGCGUAGAUAUCGGGAGGAAUACCGGUGGCGAAGGCGCCCCUCUGGACGCAAACUGACUAUGAGGCGCGAAAGCGUGGGGAGCAAACAGG
rnacentral:rRNA from 1 species